CCGCCCCCGCGUCUCCAGGGCAACCGUGGCUUUCGAUUGUUACUGUGGGAACCGGAGGUAACAGUCUACAGCCAUGGU
ensembl:miRNA MIR132 microRNA 132